rnacentral:rRNA from 1 species
GACGAACGCUGGCGGCGUGCUUAACACAUGCAAGUCGAACGGUAAGGCCCUUCGGGGUACACGAGUGGCGAACGGGUGAGUAACACGUGGGUGAUCUGCCCUGCACUUCGGGAUAAGCCUGGGAAACUGGGUCUAAUACCGGAUAGGACCCUGGGAUGCAUGUCCUGGGGUGGAAAGCUUUUGCGGUGUGGGAUGGGCCCGCGGCCUAUCAGCUUGUUGGUGGGGUGAUGGCCUACCAAGGCGACGACGGGUAGCCGGCCUGAGAGAGUGACCGGCCACACUGGGACUGAGAUACGGCCCAGACUCCUACGGGAGGCAGCAGUGGGGAAUAUUGCACAAUGGGCGCAAGCCUGAUGCAGCGACGCCGCGUGAGGGAUGACGGCCUUCGGGUUGUGAACCUCUUUCAGCACCGACGAAGCGCAAGUGACGGUAGGUGCAGAAGAAGGACCGGCCAACUACGUGCCAGCCGCCGCAGUAA